rnacentral:rRNA from 1 species
UACGGGGGGGGCAAGCGUUGUUCGGAAUUACUGGGCGUAAAGGCUCGUAGGCGGCCAACUAAGUCGGAUGUGAAAUCCCCAGGCUUAACCUGGGAACUGCAUCCGAUACUGGAUGGCUUGAAUCCGGGAGAGGGAUGCAGAAUUCCAGGUGUAGCGGUGAAAUGCGUAGAUAUCGUGGAGGAAUACCGGUGGCGAAGGCGGCAUCCUGGACCGGCAUUGACGCUGAGGAGCGAAAGCUAGGGGAGCAAACGGG